rnacentral:rRNA from 1 species
UACGAAGGGGGGCUAGCGUUGCUCGGAAUCACUGGGCGUAAAGCGCACGUAGGCGGCUUUUUAAGUCAGGGGUGAAAUCCUGGAGCUCAACUCCAGAACUGCCUUUGAUACUGAGAAGCUUGAGUCCGGGAGAGGUGAGUGGAACUGCGAGUGUAGAGGUGAAAUUCGUAGAUAUUCGCAAGAACACCAGUGGCGAAGGCGGCUCACUGGCCCGGAACUGACGCUGAGGUGCGAAAGCGUGGGGAGCAAACAGG